rnacentral:rRNA from 1 species
UACGGAGGGUGCAAGCGUUAUCCGGAUUUAUUGGGCUUAAAGGGUCCGUAGGCGGACUAUUAAGUCAGCGGUGAAAGCCCACAGCUCAACUGUUGAACUGCCGUUGAUACUGGUAGUCUUGAGUACAAGUGAAGUUGGCGGAAUGUGUGGUGUAGCGGUGAAAUGCCUAGAUAUCACACAGAACACCAAUUGCGAAGGCAGCUGGCUAGCUUGUAACUGACGCUGAGGGACGAAAGUGUGGGGAUCAAACAGG